rnacentral:rRNA from 1 species
GACAGAGGGGGCAAGCGUUGCUCGGAAUUACUGGGCGUAAAGGGCGCGUGGGCGGAAUGGCAAGUCGGUCGUGAAAUCCUUCGGCUCAACCGAAGAACGUCGAUCGAAACUGCCGUUCUGAGGAUUGCAGAGGAGACUGGAAUUCCCGGUGUAGCGGUGAAAUGUGUAGAUAUCGGGAGGAACACCAGUGGCGAAGGCGGCUGCCUGGGCCAGUUCUGACGCUGAGGCGCGAAAGCGUGGGGAGCAAACAGGG